AAUCAACGCUGGCGGCGUGCCUCAGACGUGCAAGUCGAACGAUUAAGACUUCCUUCGGGAAGUGCAUAAAGUGGCGCACGGGUGAGUAACACGUAAGUAAUCUACCCUCGAGUGGGGAAUAACGUUCGGAAACGGACGCUAAUACCGCAUAACGCAGCGGCACCGCAAGGUGACAGUUGUUAAAGGAGUAAUUCGCUUGAGGAGGAGCUUGCGGCAGAUUAGCUUGUUGGUAAGGAACGGCUUACCAAGGCUACGAUCUGUAUCCGGUCUAAGAGGACGGUCGGACACACUGACACUGAAUAACGGGUCAGACUCCUACGGGAGGCAGCAGUCGGGAAGUUUUGGUCGAAUGGGCGAAAGCCU
rnacentral:rRNA from 1 species